rnacentral:rRNA from 1 species
UGGGGAAUAUUGGACAAUGGGCGCAAGCCUGAUCCAGCCAUGCCGCGUGAGUGACGAAGGCCUUAGGGUUGUAAAACUCUUUCGUCGGGGACGAUAAUGACGGUACCCGAAGAAGAAGCUCCGGCUAACUUCGUGCCAGCAGCCGCGGUAAUACGAAGGGAGCUAGCGUUGUUCGGAAUCACUGGGCGUAAAGCGCACGUAGGUGGAUAGUUAAGUGAGGGGUGAAAGCCCGAGGCUCAACCUCGGAAUUGCCUCUCAUACUGGCUGUCUCGAGUCCGAGAGAGGUGGGUGGAAUUCCUAGUGUAGAGGUGAAAUUCGUAGAUAUUAGGAAGAACACCGGUGGCGAAGGCGGCCCACUGGCUCGGUACUGACACUGAGGUGCGAAAGCGUGGGGAGCAAACAGGAUUAGAUACCCAUGUAGUCCCUGAGCGGGCUGGCAAGGCGCAU